rnacentral:misc_RNA from 1 species
UUAGAUGGCGAUGUUAUUUCAAAAUUCGUCAAACAACACUUUCGAUCUUAAUCUCGUAUCGUACCUAGAAUACAUAUUAUAAAUUAGACCACAAUAUUUCUAAUAUUAUCAAUAAUUUCUGUUUAAAUUUAUCAAUAAUUACUUAUUUUUACUCGACGGAAUUUUUUGAAAGGAAGGAAAACAUCAAUGUCCGAUAUGCAGUAAAACAUUUGGAAACGAACGAUAUUUACGAAGACACGCGCGAAUUCACACGGAUGACAAGCCGUUUAAAUGCGACACCUGCGAAAGUUGCUUUUUGUAUCAGAGCAAUUUAAGACGGCACCAAGCGGCGCAUUCGGAUGAAAGACCAUACAAGUGCAAUUACGAAGGAUGUAAAUGGAGCUUUAAACAAAACUAUGAAUUAAGUCGGCACGUGUACAGAAUGCAUCCUCAAGAGAUUUUAUCUAAAACGUCACCGAAUGACCCGAAGAUAGAAAGCCGUAGAUGUGAUAUUUGCGGGAAACUUUUUUAUUGUCCAGCCGCUUUAAGAAUUCACUCGAGAAGACACACCAAAGAGCGGCCAUUCUUCUGUAAAUUUUGCAACUGCACGUUUCCAUACCAAACUUCCUUAUACAAACACAUCAAAAGGAUCCACUCGAAAGAGGAAACUCUAUCUUCCUGCCAGGACGUAAAAGACGAUAUUAAAGAUGUUGUAAGCGAGAAAAA